CACGAUUUCUAAGGCGGACGUGUUCGGUAGUGUUAUAUUAAAAAACACUGUCGACGUCAUAGCUGGAUACUCGUGCAUCUUAACUAUCACGUGCUCUCUCGUAGGAUGUCGUCACAGUUGAAGUGAUCAGUUAUCUCGAUUAUUAUAACAGAACAUGAAUUAAAGGACAAGGAAAAGAUAUCGGAAGUGUAACUGUCAAAAACAGGACGACCACAGUUCGAAACAGAAAUACUACUUUCUUUGGUUACAAAAUAGAAAAUAAUAAGAAAGAAGUAUCAGAAAGGACAGAAGUCAAGGGAGAACGUCACAGGAACAGGUAUUGU